UACGUAGGUGGCAAGCGUUGUCCGGAUUUACUGGGCGUAAAGAGCGCGUAGGCGGAAGCUUAAGUGUGGCCUGAAAGCCCCCGGCUCAACCGGGGAGGGCGGCUGCAAACUGGGCUUCUUGAGGGCGACAGAGGAGUGUGGAAUUCCGGGUGUAGCGGUGAAAUGCGUAGAUAUCCGGAGGAACACCCAUGGCGAAGGCAGCACUCUGGGUCGGCCCUGACGCUGAGGCGCGAAAGCGUGGGGAGCGAACGGG
rnacentral:rRNA from 1 species